rnacentral:lncRNA from 1 species
UCCUAUGACCCUCCGUCAAAAAUGAUGUGAACAUGUACUCCAUGCAACUGAACUAUGUCAUGGAUGUAGAUAUUUGUUGAAUGCUCCAAUGUGUGAGUAGGCUGUAUCGAAAUGAAAUGUUCGGAGUUUGUGAGACUGGCUACAAUUACCCAAACAGACUAAUGCUUCCUCAAAGUAUAUCAGAAGCCUACCACAAAGUUUAUAGUGAUCUUAUCCAAUUUGCACUCAGAAUUUACCAGGUUCUGACCUAUCCCCCGGCC